UACGAAGGGAGCUAGCGUUGUUCGGAAUCACUGGGCGUAAAGCGCGCGCAGGCGGUCUUUUAAGUCAGAUGUGAAAUCCCCGGGCUUAACCUGGGAACUGCGUUUGAAACUGGAAGGCUAGAGUGUGGCAGAGGGGGGUGGAAUUCCACGUGUAGCAGUGAAAUGCGUAGAGAUGUGGAGGAACACCGAUGGCGAAGGCAGCCCCCUGGGCUAACACUGACGCUCAUGCACGAAAGCGUGGGGAGCAAACAGG
rnacentral:rRNA from 1 species